rnacentral:rRNA from 1 species
UACGUAGGGGGCAAGCGUUGUCCGGAUUUAUUGGGCGUAAAGAGCGUGUAGGCGGCUUUACAGGUCCGUUGUGAAAACUCGAGGCUCAACCUCGAGACGCCGGUGGAAACCGUAAAGCUAGAGUCCGGAAGAGGAGAGUGGAAUUCCUGGUGUAGCGGUGAAAUGCGUAGAUAUCUGGAGGAACACCGGUGGCGAAAGCGCGAGACUGGGCCAUAACUGACGCUGAGGAACGAAAGCCAGGGGAGCGAAAGGG